rnacentral:rRNA from 1 species
UACGGAGGGGGCGAGCGUUAUUCGGAAUCAUUGGGCGUAAAGGGCGCGUAGGCGGCCCCGUAAGUCUUGGGUGAAAGCCCUCGGCUCAACCGAGGAAUUGCCUUGGAUACUGCGGGGCUCGAGGCUGGAAGAGGACAGUGUAAUUCCCGGUGUAGCGGUGAAAUGCGUAUAUAUCUGGAGGAACACCGGUGGCGAAGGCGGCAUCCUGGACCGGCAUUGACGCUGAGGCGCGAAAGCCAGGGGAGCAAACGGG